UAUGUAGGGUGCAAGCGUUAAUCGGAAUUACUGGGCGUAAAGGGUGCGUAGGCGGUUGUUUAAGUCUGUCGUGAAAUCCCCGGGCUCAACCUGGGAAUGGCGAUGGAUACUGGGCAGCUAGAGUGUGUCAGAGGAUGGUGGAAUUCCCGGUGUAGCGGUGAAAUGCGUAGAGAUCGGGAGGAACAUCAGUGGCGAAGGCGGCCAUCUGGGACAACACUGACGCUGAAGCACGAAAGCGUGGGGAGCAAACAGG
rnacentral:rRNA from 1 species